AUACGUAGGUGGCAAGCGUUGUCAGGAAUUAUUGGGCGUAAAGCGCAUGUAGGCGGUAAUUUAAGUCUGUCGUGAAACUGCGGGGCUCAGCCCCGUAUGGCGAUGGAAACUGGGUUACUUGAGUGCAGGAGAGGAAAGGGGAACUCCCAGUGUAGCGGUGAAAUGCGUAGAUAUUGGGAAGAACACCGGUGGCGAAGGCGCCUUUCUGGACUGUGUCUGACGCUGAGAUGCGAAAGCCAGGGUAGCGAACGGGAUUAGAUACCCCGGUAGUCCUGGCCGUAAACGAUGGGUACUAGGUGUGGGAGGUAUCGACCCCUUCCGUGCCGGAGUUAACGCAAUAAGUACCCCGCCUGGGGAGUACGGCCGCAAGGCUUAAACUCAAAUGAAUUGACGGGG
rnacentral:rRNA from 1 species